rnacentral:misc_RNA from 1 species
GUCGAGGUAGUGCCAGAGACAAGGCUGAAGGUGUCUGGGGUCCAUGUAUCAUCGACAAGGUUCACGUCAUACGCCGUCGACGCUCCCUGGUUGUAGACGUCGAUCGAGACGGAAACGCGCUCGGCGCCGGACUUCAGCCGCGUGAGGCUCACUUGCUUGUGGGCCACGAUGAACGGCGCGUCGGAUCCGGCGAGCGCCGGCGAGAGGAUGAGCAACAGAGCUGCGAUGAGGGCGAGGAGGAGCUCCGAUCUCGGUCGUCGGGCCAUGGCUGUUAGGGUUUCUGGGUUGAUCGGAUCUGAAGAGCUGGUGGGAUUUGUCGCGAGAGAAAUGGAUGUGGG